CGGAGGAAAAGAAACUAACAAGGAUUCCCCUAGUAACGGCGAGUGAAGCGGGAAGAGCUCAAAUUUGUAAUCUGGCACUUUCAGUGUCCGAGUUGUAAUCUCGAGAAGUAUUUUCCGCGCCGGACCGCAUACAAGUCUGUUGGAAUACAGCGUCAUAGUGGUGAGAACCCCGUAACUGAUGCGGAUGCCCGGUGCUUUGUGAUAUACUUUCGAAGAGUCGAGUUGUUUGGGAAUGCAGCUCAAAUUGGGUGGUAAAUUCCAUCUAAAGCUAAAUAUUGGAGCAAGACCGAUAGCGAACAAGUACCGUGAGGGAAAGAUGAAAAGCACUUUGGAAAGAGAGUUAACAGUACGUGAAAUUGUUGGAAGGGAAACGCUUGAAGUCAGACUUGCUAUUCGGAGUUCAGCCGCAAGGUGUAUUCUUCGAUUUGCAGGCCAGCAUCAGUUUUUGGGGGUGGAAAAUCGUGGUUUGAAGGUAGCAGUUUCGGCUGUGUUAUAGCUUUCCACUGGAUUCAUCUUCGGGGACUGAGGAACGCAGUACGCUUUUUGCAAGGCUCUCGAGCUUUUCGUACUUAGGAUGCUGGUGGAAUGGCUUUAAACGACCCGU
rnacentral:rRNA from 1 species